UACAGAGGUGGCAAGCGUUGUUCGGAAUUACUGGGCGUAAAGGGCGCGUAGGUGGCCUUCUUAGUCAGACGUGAAAUCCCCAGGCUUAACCUGGGAACUGCGUCUGAUACUGGAAGGCUCGAGUUCGGGAGAGGAAUGUGGAAUUCCAGGUGUAGCGGUGAAAUGCGCAGAUAUCAGGAAGAACACCCGUGGCGAAGGCGGCUCUCUGGGACGGUACUGACGCUGAGACGCGAAAGCGUGGGGAGCGAACAGG
rnacentral:rRNA from 1 species